CACUGUGCUACUGUCUUUGGAGCUGUCAGUGAGGGCAAGGUGGAGAUCUGGGACCUGAGAGUCAGCAGUCUGGACCUGACGAUUGUGAGCAUGACCAGUCCAGGAGUGAAUCCGACGGCUCUGCUGUUCACCCCUGAGACAGACUGUGUUCUGGUGGGGGACAGUGAGGGGCAGGUCACUGUGAACAAGCUGAAGAACCUGCCAGCUGGAGGCAGCACACAGCUCUUGUGUAGGUGGAAAUGUUGGAGGAUGUAAUUCGGUCCACACUGUCCAGCCAACACACAUUAGGAAAGACUGACGGAGGUGCAUAGGAGGGUCAGGCUGUUUGUCUUUACCUCUUCAUCAUCAUAAUUUAUAUUCUCUGGCAGACUGAGCGACUCCAUUUUACAUAACAAUGGGAUUACAGCACAUUGCCUGUUUGUGCCUUAUUGUGCUUCUUUGUGGGAAUAAAUAUACUCCUACAAAACAAUAAGCAAUCUUCUUAGGUAAAUGUCUAAAAACCUAGACUAAAUGUCUAAAUCUUCCACUUAAUUAUAGUAUGGUGAAUUAUUUGUAAUAACAGAGAUAACAGGCUUGUA